UUAUAUGAGAGUUUGAUCCUGGCUCAGGACGAACGCUGGCGGCGUGCCUAAUACAUGCAAGUCGAGCGGAUGAAGGAGAGCUUGCUCUCUGGAUUCAG
rnacentral:rRNA from 1 species